rnacentral:lncRNA from 1 species
AUUUCUAGUCGCAGGUGUGACAUAUGGAACUAAGAACUGUAACAUGGGCUAUUUAAUAUAUGUCUAUAGCGUCAGAACUAAUGUAAAUGGCCUAGAAGGUUGAUGUAUAUUUAUUUAAUAGAUAGGAGAUAAUGUUUUGUUUCUUGAAAAAAAGGACCACGUUCAAAAUUGAUCCAAUCAGUCAGUAGUGAUGAAUCAUUGGUAUGUAAUCCAUUACAUCAAAAUAAUGUGUCUUAAAAGAGAAAAUAAAACUUUCUCUUGAAAACCCCACUUGAGAGACUGGCCAGCAUGGGUCACCUCAAAGUCUGCCUGGCUGUUGUGCAAACUCAAGCCAUCUUGGCAACUUAGAAGAACCCUGCCAAAGAUAAAAACCACUGGGAAAGUACGUAGCUUAGUGCAGAGGGUUUGCCUGCCGUGCAUGAGGCCUUAGGUUUAAUUCCCAACUCUGAAAAAGAAAGGGAAGGCAAGAGAGGGGAAGGGAAGGGAAAGAAAGAAGUAGAAAAAGAAAAAGAGGAAUCCUAGAUUUUUAUGUUGAAAAAUAAUUUUAGAAUAUUUAAUAGAACUUUGGCUACCUGAUAAAAUUGGUUUAUACAAAGGUACUAUAAAAUACUGCAAUGAGUUUAAUACAUCUAUGUAUUGCAUGUCAAAAGAUUAAUAGAUUCGUUUAUCUUCUUUUGUAAGAAGCACGUAGUACACACUGCAUACACUCCAACCAUUACUUUGCUUUUGCAUAGGAAAAUAGGAAACACUGGCUUUAAGUUAUUGAAUGUGAAAUUGAUCUGUAUCAGCCUAUUUGUAAACUGUUAUUUUGGUGUUAUUAUUAUUGAUUAUGUUUUCUAGACCUUUCCACAUUGUUCAUCUGAUAUUAUUUAUUGCACCAAUAAAGAAAUAGAAAUG